rnacentral:rRNA from 1 species
UGAGGAAUAUUGGACAAUGGGCGAGAGCCUGAUCCAGCCAUGCCGCGUGCAGGAAGACUGCCCUAUGGGUUGUAAACUGCUUUUGUACGGGAAGAAACACCCCCACGUGUGGGGGCUUGACGGUACCGUAAGAAUAAGCAUCGGCUAACUCCGUGCCAGCAGCCGCGGUAAUACGGAGGAUGCAAGCGUUAUCCGGAAUCAUUGGGUUUAAAGGGUCCGUAGGCGGAUAAUUAAGUCAGGGGUGAAAGUCUGCAGCUCAACUGUAGGACUGCCCUUGAUACUGGUUAUCUUGAAUCGUUGUGAAGUGGCUAGAAUAUGUAGUGUAGCGGUGAAAUGCAUAGAUAUUACAUAGAAUACCGAUUGCGAAGGCAGGUCACUAACAACGUAUUGACGCUGAGGGACGAAAGCGUGGGGAGCGAACAGGAUUAGAUACCCUGGUAGUCCACGCCGUAAACGAUGGAUACUAGCUGUCCGGCCUUCGGGCUGGGUGGCCAAGCGAAAGUGAUAAGUAUCCCACCUGGGGAGUACGUUCGCAAGAAUG